rnacentral:rRNA from 1 species
AGUGAACGCUGGCGGUAGGCCUAACACAUGCAAGUCGAACGGCAGCACAGUAAGAGCUUGCUCUUACGGGUGGCGAGUGGCGGACGGGUGAGGAAUACAUCGGAAUCUACUUUUUCGUGGGGGAUAACGUAGGGAAACUUACGCUAAUACCGCAUACGACCUACGGGUGAAAGCAGGGGAUCUUCGGACCUUGCGCGAUUGAAUGAGCCGAUGUCGGAUUAGCUAGUUGGCGGGGUAAAGGCCCACCAAGGCGACGAUCCGUAGCUGGUCUGAGGGGAUGAUCAGCACAAGGGGAAAUGGAGACCGGCCCAGCCCCCCAGGGGAGGCAGAGGGGGGGAAAUUGGGAAAAUGGGGGAAAGCCUGACCCAGCCAUCCCGCGGGGGUGAAGAAGGCCUUCGGGUUGUAAAGCCUUUUUGUUGGGAAAAAAAAGCAGCAGUUUAAAACCCCGCUGUUUUGCCGUUACCCAAAGAAAAAGCCCCGGCAAACUUGGG